AGGACGAACGCUGGCGGCGUGCUUAACACAUGCAAGUCGAGCGGAAAGGCCCUUCGGGGUACUCGAGCGGCGAACGGGUGAGUAACACGUGAGUAAUCUGCCCUUAGCUCUGGGAUAGCUCCGGGAAAACCGGGAUUAAUACCAGAUACGACCACUUUAGACAUCUGCCGUGGUGGAAAGAAUUUCGGCUAAGGAUGAGCUCGCGGCCUAUCAGCUUGUUGGUGGGGUAACGGCCUACCAAGGCGACGACGGGUAGCCGGCCUGAGAGGGCGACCGGCCACACUGGGACUGAGACACGGCCCAGACUCCUACGGGAGGCAGCAGUGGGGAAUAUUGCGCAAUGGGCGAAAGCCUGACGCAGCGACGCCGCGUGGGGGAUGAAGGCCUUCGGGUUGUAAACCCCUUUCAGCAGGGACGAAGCGAAAGUGACGGUACCUGCAGAAGAAGCGCCGGCUAACUACGCGCCAGCAGCCGC
rnacentral:rRNA from 1 species